rnacentral:rRNA from 1 species
GACGAACGCUGGCGGCGCGCCUAACACAUGCAAGUCGAACGGAGCUGAGAGAAGCUUGCUUUUCUUAGCUUAGUGGCGAACGGGUGAGUAACGCGUGAGUAACCUGCCCUGGAGUGGGGGACAACAGUUGGAAACGACUGCUAAUACCGCAUAAGCCCACGAUCCGGCAUCGGAUUGAGGGAAAAGGAUUUAUUCGCUUCAGGAUGGACUCGCGUCCAAUUAGCUAGUUGGUGAGGUAACGGCCCACCAAGGCGACGAUUGGUAGCCGGACUGAGAGGUUGAACGGCCACAUUGGGACUGAGACACGGCCCAGACUCCUACGGGAGGCAGCAGUGGGGGAUAUUGCACAAUGGGGGAAACCCUGAUGCAGCGACGCCGCGUGGAGGAAGAAGGUUUUCGGAUUGUAAACUCCUGUCGUUAGGGACGAUAAUGACGGUACCUAACAAGAAAGCACCGGCUGACUACGUG